rnacentral:rRNA from 1 species
GAUGAACGCUGGCGGCGUGCCUAAUACAUGCAAGUCGAGCGAAUGGAUUAAGAGCUUGCUCUUAUGAAGUUAGCGGCGGACGGGUGAGUAACACGUGGGUAACCUGCCCAUAAGACUGGGAUAACUCCGGGAAACCGGGGCUAAUACCGGAUAAUAUUUUGAACUGCAUGGUUCAAAAUUGAAAGGCGGCUUCGGCUGUCACUUAUGGAUGGACCCGCGUCGCAUUAGCUAGUUGGUGAGGUAACGGCUCACCAAGGCAACGAUGCGUAGCCGACCUGAGAGGGUGAUCGGCCACACUGGGACGGAGACACGGCCCAGACUCCUACGGGAGGCAGCAGUAGGGAAUCUUCCGCAAUGGACGAAAGUCUGACGGAGCAACGCCGCGUGAGUGAUGAAGGCUUUCGGGUCGUAAAACUCUGUUGUUAGGGAAGAACAAGUGCUAGUUGGAUAAGCUGGCACCUUGACGGUACCUAACCAGAAAGCCACGGCUAACUACGUGCCAGCCGCCGCGGUAA